CAGCGCCGCGGGAAUACGUAGGGUGCAAGCGUUAAUCGGAAUUACUGGGCGUAAAGCGUGCGCAGGCGGUUAUAUAAGUCAGAUGUGAAAUCCCCGGGCUCAACCUGGGAACUGCAUUUGAGACUGUAUGGCUAGAGUGUGUCAGAGGGGGGUAGAAUUCCACGUGUAGCAGUGAAAUGCGUAGAUAUGUGGAGGAAUACCGAUGGCGAAGGCAGCCCCCUGGGAUAACACUGACGCUCAUGCACGAAAGCGUGGGGGGCAAACAGGAUUAGAUACCCGCGUAGUCCCUGUCUCUUAUACA
rnacentral:rRNA from 1 species